CCGGCGGUGGCGGGGGCGGUGCUGGCCGGGGUGACGGCCGGGGCGAUGGUGCUGCGCUGGCGGCUGCCGUUCGAGGCGACGCUGACCGCC
rnacentral:tRNA from 1 species